CUCAGAGUUAUCCAGACAAGUGAUGCAUCCGUCAGUGUAGCCAGUACAACACUGGCCACAGCUCUCUGUAUAACUCCUGUUGAGGAUUGUAUUAAUCGCCUUCGUCCUUUUAUUGACCAAACACCUUCAUCGCUCCAAGGCUGCUGAGGAGUUGAUCAAACGAUUGAUAUGUUUCACCUUCCUCCUGUUCCCACCCUCCUCCUCCUCCCGGCCAGACCUUUGCCUCCGCCCCCUGUGGUUCUUCAAGGAAUUGAUCAACGGAGGUUUGUGUUAGCAUCAAGUGGUCCUUCUUUUGUCUCACUGGUCAACAACAGAUCACCCCCCCCCCCCACUGUGAGGUGAAGGAACCCUUUCCCUGCCUCUCGCCCCUCCCUGCCGUUUCCGUAUCUCGGACCCCCACUUUGAGUUGAUGAACAUGUUUAACCUUCAUGUUGUCGCGCCCCCCCCCUUGCCCCACAUCGGGGCCUGUCCCUCCACCUCUCUUGAGGAGUUGAUUGAUCAGUCCGUGUGUAUCACAGCCCGCCGACGCAUCCGCCUGGGGGUUUGUGAUUGGCGUGAUUUGAAUAAUAGUAACCCGAUAGGGAUGAGUUGGUUAGACCCUUUUGAAUGUUAAUGGCUAAUGAUUGGAGGUCUCUGAUAGCCCCGCCCAGAGAACAAUGAUGGGAGAGCACGCGGGAAUCACGCAGAAAGGCAGAAGUUAAGUAAACAUGGAAGGAAUGUGGUGGAAGUUUUGGGUGAGCCUACAAAUAAAGGUUUGAACGUGAAGCAUCAACUCAGCGUUCAGCUUGAGAGAAACAGUCUUGGAAACAUGCACCGUCAUCAGAUCAUUACUCCUACACCCCCCAUAUCCAUAGGGGAUAUGAUGCAGUCAUGUACCAUUCACUCUUCAGUCAUUUAGUGGACACUUUUAAAAUAAAGCGACUUCCAGUCACCAAACUAUUUUGGACACGUGUCAUUGAUGAGCCGGUAGGGCUGAGGCCUCUUGCUGAGGGAACAGGUAGACUGUGGUCAUCGUGGUGCCACCAGGUAGACUGUGGUCAUCGUGAUGCCACCAGGUAGACUGUGGUCAUCGUGAUGCCACCAGGUAGACUGUGGUCAUCGUGAUGCCACCAGGUAGACUGUGGUCAUCGUGGUGCCACCAGGUAGACUGUGGUCAUCGUGGUCACAAUCCUGAAUCUGAGCUGCAUGCCUAGGUAAAUGUCACAGGGCCAGAUGUACAGAAUAUAGCUUGUGUGGCUUUAUGAUGACCUACACACCCCUGUUCAGAGGGUUGUGUGGUUAUUUAUAGACCUUCACGGAGUCCUCCACCUUUACUUUACAAUAACUAUCCAACAGUGAGUGUGUGUGUGUGUGUGUGAGUUUUUGCUACCUCUAACCCACCCUCUAGCCCUCUCUCCCUCACUCUCUCUUCCCGUCUCUCGCCCACACUUACCCAUUCUCUUGCCCUUUAACUCACUCCACCCCUCUCUCUCCUCCCCCCCCCCUUUCUGUUGUACCCAAUCCCGCUCGCACAAUUUAACCGACCUCUGCGCACCUCUGAUAAGAAACCUUGACUGCCCUUCUCACUCUCUCUCUCUCGCUCUCUCGCUCUCUCUCGCUCUCUCUCUCUCUCUCUCUGAGGGGAAACCAUGGAUACAUACCAGAAUCACACCAUGCAGUUAAAUCCCCCUCCCCACUGCUGGACCACUCUGCUAACGCUGGUCUGGUAUUUGCCCGGCU
ensembl:lncRNA